UCGGAGGAGUCUCUUGCACCUGGCCUCGGACGUUGGUGAAUCUGCGAACCGUCCCGGGGUAUAGCAUGGAGCCUCCGAAGGCGUGGCGCUGUUCGCCCUCGUCUCUGAUCAGGACGGUGACCACGGCGAGCUCGGAGCUGACCCGGAAAUUCUGGACGUCCCCCAGCCCGCAGAGGCCGUUCCGCAUCUGCGACCACGACAGGACCACCCGGACAGGGGUGACGGCCGGCAGCCUGAGAGAGCUCAUCAACAAGGCCUUGGACGUCCUGCUCCUCACGGGAGUGGUCACCCUGGUCCUGGAGGAAGAUGGCACCGCCGUCGACAACGAAGACUUCUUCCAGCACUUGGACGACGACACCAGCUUCAUGGUGCUGCAGAAGGGCCAACGAUGGAAGCCUCCCAAGAGGGGGAUGGUUUCCUGUUCCCUGAUCCAGAAACCCAGGAACGCCAGAGACAUCGCCCGCAUCACCUUCGAUAUCUACAAGCUCAACCCCAGGGAUCUGUUUGGCUCACUCAACGUUCGCGCUACUUUCUAUGGACUGUACUCCAUGACCUUCGAUGUCAAGUGUCUCGGGCCAAAGAAGGUUCUGAGGUCUGAUCCCUCUCAGCCCAAGGAGCGACACACUGGAUCUUGACCGUGCUCUAUCCUGAUGAGGCAACCAGCCUGGUGAACACUGACCCCCAGCAGGGAAUACGCAGGAAGUAAUUACGUUGGGAUCGGGAAGAAUCAGAUAUCGGAUGAGAGCAAUUAACAGGCUGGGAUAUGAGAGUUUCAACUUCGCUGAGUGCUAUAGGAAUUCAGAUAACAUUAAAGGGGACUGUCUGUGCAACUCCUUCUGAUGUUUAUUCUGUGAGAAGUCUCCAGACACCAGCACACCGCCCCCACAUCAUCACUGAUGUUAUCCACGGGAACUGUGGCACGGACACUGAGGGAGCGUGCAAGUGGAAUAAAGACAGAGACACUAGGAGGCAGAAUCGUAAGUCUAAAUAGAUGGGGAGUUGUGAUAGCAACACACAGUGAAAGACUCCGUGGCCACUCA